rnacentral:rRNA from 1 species
CACAUGCAAGUCGAACGGCAGCGCGGGAGCAUCCUGGCGGCGAGUGGCGAACGGGUGAGUCAUACAUCGGAACGUGUCCUGUAGUGGGGGAUAGCCCGGCGAAAGCCGGAUUAAUACCGCAUACGAUCUACGGAUGAAAGCGGGGGAUCGCAAGACCUCGCGCUAUAGGGGCGGCCGAUGGCGGAUUAGCUAGUUGGUGGGGUAAAGGCCCACCAAGGCGACGAUCCGUAGCUGGUCUGAGAGGACGACCAGCCACACUGGGACUGAGACACGGCCCAGACUCCUACGGGAGGCAGCAGUGGGGAAUUUUGGACAAUGGGCGCAAGCCUGAUCCAGCAAUGCCGCGUGUGUGAAGAAGGCCUUCGGGUUGUAAAGCACUUUUGUCCGGAAAGAAAUCCUCUGGGUUAAUACCCCGGGGGGAUGACGGUACCGGAAGAAUAAGCACCGGCUAACUACGUGCCAGCAGCCGCGGUAAUACGUAGGGUGCGAGCGUUAAUCGGAAUUACUGGGCGUAAAGCGUGCGCAGGCGGUGAUGUAAGACCGAUGUGAAAUCCCCGGGCUUAACCUGGGAACUGCAUUGGUGACUGCAUCGCUGGAGUAUGGCAGAGGGGGGUAGAAUUCCACGUGUAGCAGUGAAAUGCGU